AAUCAACGCUGGCGGCAUGCCUAACACAUGCAAGUCGAACGGGAAAGUGGGAGCAAUCCCAUGAGUAUAGUGGCGCACGGGUGAGUAACACGUGACUAACCUACCCUCGAGUGGGGAAUAACCCCGGGAAACCGGGGCUAACACCGCAUAAUACCGCAAGGUCGAAAUGCGCAAGCAGCUUGAGGAGGGGGUCGCGGUUGAUUAGCUAGUUGGUAGGGUAAUGGCCUACCAAGGCAGNGAUCAAUAGCCGGCCUGAGAGGGCGCACGGCCACACUGGAACUGAAACACGGUCCAGACUCCUACGGGAGGCAGCAGUCGAGAAUUUUUCUCAAUGGGCGAAAGCCUGAAGGAGCGACGCCGCGUGGGGGAUGAAGGGCUUCGGUCCGUAAACCCCUGUCAUUUGCGAACAAACCUUAUGAUUGAACAUUUUCAUGAGCUGAUAGUAGCGAAAGAGG
rnacentral:rRNA from 1 species